rnacentral:rRNA from 1 species
UACGUAGGGUCCGAGCGUUGUCCGGAAUUAUUGGGCGUAAAGGGCUCGUAGGCGGUCUGUCGCGUCGGGAGUGAAAACUUACAGCUUAACUGUGAGCGUGCUUCCGAUACGGGCAGACUUGAGGUAUUCAGGGGAGAACGGAAUUCCUGGUGUAGCGGUGAAAUGCGCAGAUAUCAGGAGGAACACCUGCGGCGAAGGCGGGUUGCUGGGCUGACACUGACGCUGAUGCGCGAAAGCGUGGGGAGCAAACAGG